rnacentral:tRNA from 1 species
GUUACUUUGGCAGAAUAGUGCGCUAGAUUUAGAAUCUAUAUAGGUAAGUUAGGAUUACAGGUAAUA